GGUUGCAGAGAUGAGGAUGCUCAGGUGGAUGUGCGGGCUCACCAGGCUAGAUAAGAUUAAGAAUGAAGUUAUUCGGGAAAAGGUGGGGGUGACCCCAGUGGAUGAGAAAAUGCGAGAAGCGAGGCUUAGAAUGUUCGGGCAUGUGCGUGGGAGAAGCCUUGAUGCCUCGGUGAGGAGUUGUGAGCGGCUGGCGGUAGUCGGGGUGAGUCGAGGCAGAAGGAGACCUAAGAGGCAUUGGGGAGAGGUGAUUAGGAAGGACAUGGCUAGAAUGUGGAUUUCCGAGGACAUAGCCCUUGAUAGGAAAGUCUAGAGGUCUAGUAUCAGGGUAUUAGGAUAGGGGCGUCUAGAAUCUAUCGUACUCCUUUCCCGGGGCUGAGGGGUUUGGUAGGGCUCUCCAUAGAUGAUCUGUAUAUUGGAGUGUGUCCACUUAUGUUAGUUAUUGUUUAAUAUUAUCGCAUGCCAUUUUAUAUACGUUUUUAUGUUAGAUAAUUAUUUAUGUGAUUUAUGCUGGAGUUACUAAUGCUAAUUUGUUUUUGUUUUUGUUUUGAUUUUCCUUUCCUGAGCUGAGGGUUGAUUGGAAACAGCCUCCCUGCCCUUUCGGGUAGGGGUAAGGCUUGUCUACAUAUUACCCUCCCCAGACUCCCACCUGAUGGGAAUAUACUGGGUAGUUGUUGUUGUUGUUGUUGUUUGUUUAUCUUUUAAAAUUUAUUUAAUUACCAAGCUAAGUAAAUUUUUCGCUUCGUAUAGUGUGUGCUGGAGAAAUAAAAGUAAAAGUCAAAUUUUAGAUGGAUGAAUUAGAUUUAUGUAUUCCCAGCCGAAUCCGUUGAGCCAAAGUUUUGAGUAUUUUAUGGGUCCAAAUUUGAUCGUCUAUGAGUGCUUCAGCAUCUUGAAAACUAUUUUACAGCCUGAUUAUUGGACUUUCUUCAACAUUACAUUUUGGUGGAUAUUGGAAAAAGCACAGAUAAUAACCUUACCAUCAAGGGCCAUCCUUUCAAAAGCAUACUGUUUACUACAUGAUCUGCUCCUGAAUCAAAUAAGAAGGUGAAUGAGCUACACCAUUCUCCCUUUUUCUCAUUUAAAUGGGAUGGAGGAGGGGUAUAUCGAAGCUAGACUGACAAACAACAUACAACUGAAAAAAACAUUGGUAGAAAACAAACUCAAAGGACGAACACCAUUAUUUAUUAAUUCUUGACCAAUAAUCAUUCAAGUUUAUGCAUGUUAUCAAGACUUAAAGUUCAAGAGAAAAGUGAAAUUAACUAUUCUGGAAGAAAUAGCACAGAUCUUCAUUUUUUUCAUGCUAAAAUUAAUCUUCACAAAUUCAUGCUACAGCAGUACACUGGUCUUCAUCAUGUUUAGAGCACUCAUAAACAAGCAGAAGCUCCUACUUUAACUUCAAAUCACAAAGAAGAGACUUCUACUGCAUCACGGGCAGUCAUCUUUCAAAAUGAUUCUAUCUAGUUUGACCAGACACAAUACUGACACUUUUGAUUAUUGUUUAAAGUGAAUUUGCUUUCAUCUUGCUUUCAUCUUGUUGAGAAGGGUGUGACUUGACCUGUAGCUGAUGUGGCACUUAUCUAAGUGACAGGCUGUUAGAGAUUAAUUAGGGUCUCUUAUAGGUUGUUAGUAGGUUAAUGAUAGUUAAAGUUAGGGUUCCUUUUCCCCUCCUAAACUUGCUCUCUAUUUUUUCAUCUCUCUAGAAUUAGGGUUCCUUUGCUAUAAUUAGAAACACGCCACAUCUAAAACCUCGAACAGGAAAACCAUAUGUUCAAAGCUCAUUACUUCAAUAAAGGAUUUAAUUGCUAAUUGUUAAUACCAGAAACUUCAGUGAGUGAUUUACCUGACUCGGCAGCUUUGAAAUUCAAAGAUGGAUUCAUCAUAUUUGUUAAGCUCUGGUCCAGCUUCAGACAACAGAAAAACUAAGCAGUUAGAGCAAAAUGUUCUUAUCAAUUGCCUUUCCACUUCUUUUUUUCAUGAGAAAUGUUUAUUUUUCCCAGAUUUCUUAGUAUUUUAUAUAUUUCUAUUUAUCAUUCCAUUUUUAUACUUGCUUUUUGGAAGGAGGAAGAUAGUUACUUGAGGGACACGGAGUUGCUGAUCUUGAUCAGUUAGUGGAGGAUAAAAACUUAAAUUACCACCAGGAACACUGUGUUGUAUUUGCCUGAAAUAAAACAACAAUGACACUAAGGUAAACAGACGUCCUGCCAUGAGAGCACCAGCAGACUUGGUUCAAACAGAGUACCCCGAGUGCUGGUCCCUAUAGGUAUCCAGAUUUGAUAUGACGCUGUGAUUUGCAACUAAAUGCUGACCAAAACUUCCACUACUCCUUGUGUUUGCGGGUGUCUAUAAAAAUAAAAAUGAAGAAAGAAUGAUUCAAAUAUGAUGGCUCAAAAAGAAAGACAUGAAUGAGAGAACUAGUAGAGCAAUUGUUAUAACUUUAAGUUUGCACACCUUCUUAUUAGCCUCAGAUAGGGGUUUUCUCUGAGCUGGAGGGUAAUUCUCGUACACCCUUUUGGUUAAAGCAUUUGUUGUCCCUAGAUUUUGUUUUGUGAUAACCUCAUUGGUAGUCCCCCUGAGAAGCUGAGUAUCGUCACCUUGCUGUUGCUUUUGUAGGACACCCUUCUGUUGCUGUUGUUGUUCCAAUGUUUUCAUCAUUUGAACCUGCAACCCCAAAAUCAGGAAAAUAGAUACUUUAACACUUUGUACAAAUAGGCCAGGCCAGCUGAAAACAAAAAAUUUAGAAAAAUACAUUAACAUGUGACUUUUAUAAACAUAUGGACACACGUAAAUAGGCCAAAACUAGUUGUUAAAACUGUGUAACACAUUGCAAACAUACCGCAUUGUAAGAUCCAGUAGUGCUUGAAACAGGGCUCUUAAACCGAACAAUGAAAACAUCCCAAAAGACUGACCACCAUUCAAGGAGAAAACCAGCCGGAGCAUCUAUAGCUGGAAAACAAAUGUUUAUUCAAGAAAGUCAAAAGCAAAAUUGGAAAAGCUGAAUGAACUAAACUGGUUGUAUUACUUACCAGUACGGUUGGUGACAACUUGUGCUUCAGCUUUAAAUGUCCUAGCGGAAGCACCUAGUUUUCUCUUCACUAGAUAAUCAUGUAUAUAAACAUCCAACCUGUUGUCCAUCAAAAUUAAACUUAAAGCGAAAAAUCUACAUUAUGAUAUUAUGUAAAACAAGACGUCAACAAUAACAGGAAAACACAAGCAUCUACAAAAAGCACUAUAAUCUACAAAAAGCACUAUAAUCUAUAAAAAGCACAUAUCACUUUUAAAAACAUCCAUUGGGGUUAAAACCCAUAUGAUUAGACGUAAACCCACAAAGAAAUCAUUACAAUACCCAUUCAGCAAGAGAGAAAAAAACAUCGACGUACAGAGGCCAGCGCGAAUCUAGAGUAUUGUAAGGGUGGUCAAUUGACCACCCUUCGUCCAAAAAUUUCUGGCUUCGGCACUCACAGAGGCCACAACCUUUUAUAUGAAGAAAGAGGCUAAGAACCAGAAUAGCAAAGUGAUGACUAAAACCCCAUCUCCAAUAGAUGUAAAAGCAGAAGAACCCAAAAUCACAUGCAUACAACUAAAGAAAUUUAAGAAGGAAAUGAAGUAAAUCCACAAAAAAUGCAAGAAGAUUGUAACAGACGCAGCUGGAAUAAAAUAUUAUUAGAAAGUCCCUCACAUUUUAUCAGCUUCCAUGGUGGUUGAUUUUGAUAGUCUCCAGGGACCUCAAAGACUGUGAAGAAGAAUGUCUGCCUACUGAUUUACUUUAAGCUUUCUUUGAAUGCUGCCUACUACACGACAAAAAUAGGCAAAACAAAAAGGACAAAAUCACAGUCCCUCAAUAGAACAUGCAAGGUAUGGGCUAACAUUUUAAACUAGGAAUUACGAUUUAACGGUCAAACGAUAGUAAAUAUAUUAUGGAUUUCCUUUGUUUCAAAUUUAGAUCACAUAUUUUGUUUCCAAAGUUAAUUUGACUAAAUUUUGAAGCUAAAUUAAAUUAGCUCAGCUUAGUAUUUUAAAAUUUAAAUUUAAAUAUUCAAAAAUUACAUGAAAAGUGCUAUAAAUUAUAAUUUUUCUCAUGUUAAUUUGAUAACAAAAUAUAUUUUAAAAUAUUAGUCAAACUUCACAUAGUUGGACUCGAUGAGUGAAAUGUGUCAUUUAAAUUAAAACAGAAGAAACAUAUUUUAUUGCAAAUUUGACCAAUGUAGAGUAAAAACAACAACAAUAACAUACCCAUUGGUAUCCCACAAAGUAGGAUCUGAGGAGAGUAGAAUUUAGGCAGACCUUAUUCUGACAUUUGUGAAGGUUGAGAGUAUGAUUUUCGGUAGACCCCUAACUCAAAGAAAAUUAAAAGAGGCAGACAUGACAAGUAUAACUAUAGCAAGAUAAAGAGAUAAGGUGAUAAGAUGAUAAGGUGAUAGAAUAAUUAAAUGGAAAGAAACAACAUAUAACAAAAGAAUUAUACGAAUAGGAAGUUACGAAAAUAUGACACUAGUAAUAACGUUACCGACAUGAAAAGGAGACAUGCAUGCCUAUCUACUAAUCUUCUACCAUAAUUCCUAACCUUCAUAUAUGUCUAUCAAGGGUCAAGAAACAACACUAUAUCAUGCAUAAUCAUCUCUUUUCCAUACUUCUUAGGCCUACCUCUACCUCUCCCCCAGCCCCACCAUGACCAACCUAUCACACCCCCUAAUUCGAGCAUCUAUGCACCUCCUCUUCACAUGUUUGUACCAUCUCAGUCUAGCUUCCUGCAUCUUGUCUUCCACGGGGUCGCUCCCACCUUGUUUCGGAUAGCUUCAUUGUUAAUUUUAUCUCUCCUAGUAUGUGAUACAUCCAUCUAAACAUCCACAGUUUUGCUACUUUUAUCCUCUGCACAUGUGUGUUCUUAACUUGUCAAUACUCCAUCCCAUACAACAUUGUCGGUGUCACGAUCCAAAAUCCAACUAGUUGUGAUGUCACCUAACUCAAUUCUCUAAGUAACCAAGUAUCCAUAAACGCAAUCCAAAUGAAAGUAACAUGAAAUAAAUGAUGAAAUAAUUGAAUUCUUAUACAAUAACCCAAGGACUAAUAAGUACAAGUCAUGAGCUACUAUGACUUAGAUUUACAAAACGGAAAUGAAAUAAUUACAACAUCUGUUUGGAAUGUACAUUAACUGAAUUUGAAUCUAAAGCUACCAAGGACAAGUGAUAGCCAUAACUGGAAUACCGGUACAUAUUCAAUGCCAAAUCCCGCCAUACACAACAUCAACUCCAAAAUGUGCACGCAAGGUGCAGAAGUGUAGUAUGAGUACAACCGACCCCAUAUAUUCAAUAAGUAUCUUAACUAACCUCGGGAGGUAAAAGAAGCAAGAACUAUAAAUGAUACUUGUUAUCACCUGAACAACUCAUAAUUUCAAUAGUGUAGAACAUAUAUAUGAUCAAACAAGGAAAUCUCAGGUAAAAUAUCAUUAUUUUAAAGUAUUCUUCUCAGUCAACAAUCCAUCAUAUAAAGAAGAUAUGCAAGUAAAGCGGGUAAACAGUCAAGGAAAUUGCAAGUAAAGAUGAAAUGCAAUAAUGACAUAUCAGUAUGUUGUGGCGCAACCCGAUCCAAAUAACAUUAAGCCAAUAAGGCAUGUUGCGGUGUGCAACUAGAUCAAAUAAUAGUAAUCAGCUCUAUCUGAGCUCACAUCAACCAAAAACCCGUUGGUUUUUCAUAAUUUGUGUGUACACCAUCAAGAGAGAAACAUGAGAGGGUAGCCUGGGGGAUGGAUUUGUAUCUGCACGCAAGCACGACCAAUUCAACGUACUAACAGCCCGACGUGGCCACAAGCUCAAUAUCAUAAACCGCUAGGCGUGGUCACAAACUCAAUAUCAACCGCACAGACAACACACAUGCCAUAAUAUCAAUAUGUGGAUCUGUAUGGACUCAUCACAUGCUUCACGAAAAAUUCAUAUGUUGCACGAACAACUCAUGUGUCGAUACCGCAAUCCGCCCAGCGUGGUCACAUGCAUAACAAUACAGUCCACCCAGCAUGAUCACAGGCAUAAUAAUACAAUCCGUCUGUUGUGGUCACAAGCAUAACAAUACAAUUCGUCUGGCAUGGUUACACACAUCUAGCCGAAUCAUCUCACGCAUGAGAAAAUAAAUAACGAUACAUAUAUAUGAUGAAUGAAUAACAGAUCUCAUGCUCCUGGUCUGGUAUAAAUGAUGUGUUGAAUUGUAGGCAUGUACAAAGUGUGCAAUCAUAUCUCAAAUCAACAAUUUCAUCACAAAAAUAACAAUUGACAAGUUUAUUCGAGAAAUUAGCUUCUUUGUAACCUCAAACACGAUUCAAAUAGUUCACAACAAUGUUACAAAUACGAAAAAUAUUAUAGCUUAAAGCAUAACAGUCAAUUCUAGGCAUAUCAUUGCCUAAGAACUACCUCGAGCAUGGAUAAAUACUCUAGUGCUCGUACAUGUGCUCAAACCCCACACAUAUGCACACAUAUAGCACGUAACUAUCACAAAUAACUCAAGAAACUAGAGCUUCAACCAAGUUUAGAUAAGAUAUUUACUUCAAGCAAGCAAAACAAUACCCUAUAAGCUCCUUCAUGUACAAAUCGACAUCUGAACGACUCGAAACUAGCCAAAAACAACUCAAGAAUAUGAAAUAAUUCCCAAUGAAACAAACAUAAUCUAUGAAGGUUGAAUAUUUAAUCAAACACUCAAAGUCAACCAAAAAGUCAAACCUUGGGCUCGCACCUCGGAACCCAAUAAAACUAACAAAUUUUGGCAACCCGUUGAAUUACGAGUCCAACCAUACUAAUUUCACUCAAAUCCAACUUUGAAUCGGUUUUCAAAACUCAAAAAUAUACUUUAGAAUAGUUUAGACAACCCCCCCCCCCAAAUUUCCCUCAAAAAAUUCAUAAUCCAAAUGCAAAAAUCGAAGAUAGAAUCAUGAAAUAUAAUCAAAUCCAAGUAGAAAGUACUUGCCUCAAUCCAUGUGCUGAAAAUCCUCUCCAAAAAUCGCCCAAAUCCGAGCUCCCCAACUCAAAUUGUGAUAAAAGGUCCGGAAUAGAGUACUUAUAUGCACGGUCAAUGGUACUCUACAUGACCGCGAUCCACAAAUAUACGCUACCACAAUUAACUCAACGUGUUUGCGGCAUAAAACUCAUGAGUGCAAUACUCAAAGUGACAUAACUAUGCGAAAGCAAGAGCAUCAUCGCAAACAUGAAGGAAAAAUCAUCAACUGCCCGGCUCAGUCAAAACAUUAUGCGAACGCGUAGAAGCAAAUGCAAAUGCGAAGAAUACCAGUCCUCCCAACAUACACAAAUGCAAUCACCAAGUCACGAAUGAGAUGAAGUAAAUCACCCAGCUCACAUAAUACACUACACAAUCUCGGUCUCCUAUUAACAAUCACGACGAGGAACUGAAACACUAGAAUACUGCAGUGCUAAAAUGAGUCGAAAUCUAUCAGAAACUCACCCGAGCCCCUCGGGACCCCGUCCAAACAUGCCAAAAAGUUCCAAAAUAUAAUAUGGACCUACUCGAUGCCUCAAAUAACACAUAAAAAUAUUGAAACUAUGAAUCGCACCUCAAAUCAUACUUGAUGAACUUUUGAACUUUCAACUUCUAAAACUCAUGUCGAACUAUACCAAAUCAAUAGGGAAUGACCUCAAAGUUUUCACACAAGUCCCAAAUGAUAUAACGAAGUUAUUCCAAUCCCCAAAACCACAAUCCAAACCCGAUAUCAUCAAAGUCAACACUUGAUCAAACUUAUAAAUAUUCUAACCCUUCAAAUUUCUAUCUUUUGUCAAAUAGUGCUGAAACCUUCUAGAAACAUCCAAAUGCAAAUAUGAGCAUACGCCUAAGUCCAAUAUCACUAUCCGAACCUACGAUCCUCUACGAUUGCAAUUCACAAACAUAUGUCUGACCUCAACUUACCUUACGUGAUUGCGGAUAGACUCACACGGUCGUAGUGAACAAAUCACUGCUAUAAAAAUGCCAGAAAACUACAAUAUCUCAUAGGCCAAAAUUGCAUGUUUGAGCAUCCGAAAUACACUCGAGGCCCCCCGAAACCUCAACCAAACCUACCAACAUAUCCCAUAACAUCAUUCAAAUCUUUCCAACCUUUGGAAUGCUCAAAACAACAUCAAAACACCAAUGUAGCAUCGGAUUCAAGCCUAAAAACUUCAAAAACUCUAAAAAUACACUUUCGAACAAAAAGUCUAUCAAACCUCGCCUGAAUGACCUAAAAUUUUGCACACACAUCACAUUCAACACUACGGAGCUACUCCAACUUCUGAAAUUUCAUUCCUACCCUAAGAUCAAAAUCUCACUAUCGAACCGAAAACUUCAAAAAUUCAACUUUCGGCAUUUCAAGCCUAAAUGAGCUACGGACCUCCAAAAUACAAUCCGAACACGCCCCUCAUUCCGAAAUCACUCAAUAGAGCUAACGGAAUCGACGGAUUUUCAUUCCAAUGCCGUCUUCACAUUGUUCUGACUAGGGUCCAAAUUCUAAAGCUUAAGCUCUCAUUUAGGGAUUAGAUGUCCCAAAAACCUCCGAAACUAAAAAAUGAAUCUUCCCGGCAACCCACAAUAGCAUAAACAACAUGAGAAAAACAGUGAAUAGGGGAUCAUGGCAUUAAUUCUCAAAACGACCGACCAGAUCGUUACAUAUUAAGUGCAUAUUGGUUCAUCUUAUAUAUCUUCGAUAUAAAAGAAAUAAAUUAAUGAAGCUACUAUUAUUAAAUAUAUUCCCAAAAUGUUAUAUUUCGAGUUUUAUUAUGAAUUCGCAUAGGAACAUGCUCCUAAACCCAAAAUCACCCAACGGAGCUAAUGGACCAUCAGAAUUCCAUUCCGAGGCUGUCUUCACACUGUUACAACUUCGGUCAAAUUUCCAAAACUUAAGCUCUCAUUUAGGGAUUAAGGGUACCAAAACUCUCCAAAACUCCAAGUGAACCCUCUCAGAAACUCAUACUAGCAAAAACAAACACGGUUAAAGCAGUUAAUAGGGGAUCAGGGAAUUAAUUCUUAAGACGACCGGCCGGGUCGUCACAUCCUCCUACACUUAAACAUCCGUUCGUCCUCCAACGAGCAUAGAGACAUACCCGAAGUAGUAAAAAUAUGAGGGUAACGGCUGCGCAUAUCCUUCUCGGUCUCCCAGGUCACCUCCUCGACCGGCUGACCCCUACAUUGAGCCUUCACGAAUGCAAUGUUCUUUAACCUCAACUUUCUAACCUACUUGUCCAAUAUUGACAUUGGCUCCUCAACAUAGGAUAGAUCCUUGUCCAACUAGACUGAACUGAAAUCCAAAACGUGCGAUGGAUCGCCAUGUUACCUCCGGAACAUCGAAACAUGAAAUAUUGGAUGAACUCCUGCCAAACUUGGAGGUAAGGCAAGCUCAUAAGCAACCUCCCCAACACGCCUCAAUAUCUCAAAACGACCAAUAAAUCUCGGACUCAACUUUUCUUUCUACCCAAAUCUCAUAACGUCCUUCAUAGGCAAAACCCGAAGAAGAACUCGCUCUCCAACCAUAUAGGAAACAUCACGAACCUUCCGAUUCGCAUAACUCUUCUGUCUGGACUGGGCUGUGCGGAGUCUAUCCUGAAUCCCCUUAACCUUCUCCAAAGCAUACUGAACCAAUUCUGUGCCCAGUAAUCUAGCCUCACCCGACUAAAACAAACCCACUGGGGAUCACUACCGCCUACCAUAUAAGGCCUCAUACGGUGCCAUCUGAAUGCCGGACUGAUAGUUGUUGUUGUAGGCAAACUUUGCCAAUGGCAAGAACUGAUCCCAGGACUCUCCAAACUCAAUCACACACGCACGGAGCAUAUCCUCAAGCAUCUGAAUAGUGAGCUCAGACUGUCCAUCAAUCUGAGGGUGAAAUAUUGUAUUCAACUCCACCCGAGUACCCAACUCAUACUGAACAGCCAUUUGGAAUCGUAAAGUGGACUUAUUACCCCUAUAUUAAAUGAUGGAAACAGGGAUACCAUGAAUACGAACAAUCUCCCUAAUAUAAAUCUCUGCCAACUGCUUCGAGGAAUAAAUAGUACACACAUGAAUGAAGUGAGCGUACUUGGUCAACCGAUCUGCAAUCACCCAAAUAACAUCGAACUUUCUCAAAGUCCAUGGGAGCCCAACUACAAAGUCCAUUGUGAUCCGCUCCCACUUCCACUCCGGAAUCUCUAUCUGCUGAAGCAACCUACCCGGUCUCUGGUGCUCGUACUUCACCUACUCAUAGUUGAGGCACCAAGCUACAAGCCCAACCAUAUCUUUCUUCAUCCGCCUCCACCAAUAGUGCUGUCUCAAAUCCUGAUACAUUUUCGUUGCACCUGGAUGAAUGGAAUACCGCGAACUAUGGGCCUACUCUAGAAUCAACUCCUGAAGCCCAUCAACAUUGGGUACACAAAUCUGACCCUGCAUCCUCAACACCCCGUCAUACCGAUAGUCACGUCUCUGCAUCACGAUGCUGAACCUUGUCCUUGAGGACAAGCAAAUGAGGGGCAUCAUACUGACGUUCCCUGUUACGAUCAAAUAAAAAAGAUCGAGAAACCACGCAAGCUAGAACCCGACCGGGCUCCGAAAGAUCCAGUCUCACAAACUGGCUGGUAAGGCUUGAACAUCCAUCGCCAUUGGCCUCUCCGAUGCUAGUAAAUUAGCCAAUCUCCCCAAACUCUCUACCCGGCAACUCAAAGCAUCGACCACCACAUUGGCCUUGACCGGGUGAUUCAGAAUAGUGAUAUCAUAGUCCUUCAGCAACUCCAACCACCUCCUCUGGCGCAAAUUAAGAUCUUCUUGCUUGAACAGGUGUUGUAAGCUCCGAUGAGCAAUAUAAGUCUCACAAGGUACACCGUAUAAAUAAUGGCGCAAAAUCUUCAGGGCACGAACAAUGGCAGCAAGCUCUAGAUUAUGGACAUGAUACUUCUUCUCAUGCACUUUCAACUGUCUGGAUGCGUAGGCAAUCACCCUACCAUCCUGCAUCAAAACUGCUCCAAGGCCAAUACUCAAGACAUCACAAUAGACAAUGUAAGACCCCAAACCUGUAGGCAAUAUCAUAACUGGGGUUGUAGUCAAAGCUAUCUUAAGCUUUUGGAAGCUCGCCUCACACUCUUUCGUCCACUAGAACGGAGCACCUUUCUGGGUCAGUUUGGUCACAGGGGCUGCAAUCGAUGAAAUCCCUCAACAAAACGAUGGUAGUAACCCGCCAAGACAAGGAAACUGCGAAUCUCUGUAGAUGAGGAUGGUUUGGGCGAACUAUGCAUGACCUCUACUUUCUUAGGAUCCACACGAUUACCCUCACUCAACACCACAUGGCCUAAGAACGCCACGUAAUCCAACCAAAACUCACAUUUCGAGAAUUAGCAUAUAACGUCUUUUCCCUCAAGGUCUCAAGGACUAUCCUCAGGUGCUGCUCAUAAUUUUCCCAACUCUGGGAAUACACCAGAAUAUCAUCAAUAAAGAUAAUGACGAACAAGUCAAGAUAUGGCCGGAACACACUGUGUAUUAAAUGCAUAAAGGCUGCUGUGGCAUUGGUCAGCCCAAAAGCCAUGACAAGGUGCUCGUAAUGACCAUACCGAGUCCUGAAAGCAGUCUUCUGGAUAUUUGGCUCCUGAAUCUUGAACUAAUGGUAAACUGAGCUCAAGUCAAUCUUGGAAAACAUCCGUGCGCCCUGAAGUUGGUCAAACAGAUCAUCAAUAUGAGGCAAAGGAUAACUUCUUCACCGUAACCUUGUUCAACUGGCGAUAAUCGAAACACAUCCGCAUAGAACCAUCUUUUUUCUUCACAAACAAGACAGGAGCACCCCAAGGUGAUACAAUGGUCCGAAUAAAACCCUUAUCAAACAGUUCAUGUAACUGAUCCUUCAAUUCCUUCAACUCAAGAGGAGCCAUACGAUAUGGAGGAAUAGAAAUAGGCUAAGUUCUCGGCAACAGAUCAAUGCCAAAAUCAAUAUCUCUAUCAGGUGGCAUGCCUGGAAGAUCGGCUGGAAACACAUCGCAAAAAACUCGUACUACUGGGAUUGAAUCAACUGAAGGGGUAUCAAUACUGACAUCUCUCACACAAGCUAAAUACACGUCACACCCAUUCUCAACCAUACACUGAGCCUUAUGAAAAGAAAUAACUCUACAAUGAGUGUGAUCUAAACUAUCCCACCACUCAAUAUGCGGUACGCCUGGCAUAGCCAACGCCACAGUUUUUGCAUGACAAUCAAGGAUAGCAUAAUAGGGCGACAAUCAGUCCAUGCCCAAGAUAAUAUCAAAAUCUACCAUGCUGAGCAACAAUAAAUCGGCUCCAUGUCUCAAAACUACUAAGAGCAACCAAACACGACCGAUAAAUGAGGUCCACAACAAGAGAGUCUCCCACAGGAGUAGAAACAUAAAUAAGAGAACUCAAAGAAUCCCGAGGUACACCCAAAUGCGAAGCAAAAUAGGAAGAUACAUAAGAGUAAGUAGAGCUUGGGUCGAAUAGAACUGAUACAUCUCUAUGACAAACCACUAUAAUACCUGUAGAUGUGUGAUUUUUGACCCUCCCCGAGAUUUUUCGUAUUUUAGCAUAUAAAUAUUUAGUUUAGGUGUAAUAUAGCUAUUUCAGCUAAUUUUUAACUCUUUUACUUUACUUUGUCACAAAAUGAAGAAAAUUACAAAAAAGGAUAUUUAAAUUAUAGUUUAUGUAUUUUUUAUAAACUUGAAAAAUACAAAAAAAUAGUACCUUAUUUACAUCUUCAUAUAAUUUAGAAAAUACAAAAAAAUAGUUUCAUCAAUGUUUUGUGCUCAUUUUAAUCUUUAUAUACAAAAACGGUUGCAUCAUCUUCUUCUUCUUCUGCUUCAAUUUUCUCCAACGAAAAACCCUAAACCAUCCUCCAUAGCCACACCAAAAAACCACCCGUCCCCUAACACCCAAACAGCCCCCUAGCAGCAGCUUUCCGCCAUCUUCAGCCCACGACCAAGCUGCCCGUCUCCACCAGCUGAACCUCACACCACCACCUCCGUUCCUACGUCCACCACGACCCACCGAUGAACACCAGAAACCUUCUGCUCUUCGACCUCGACCUCACCAGUUCAAACAGGCGUCGACCAGCCAAACGACCAUAACCAACCUCAUCUCCGUCAUCAACCUCCAGCCUCACCUCGUCUCCAGCUCCUCAACGUAACAGAUGACCACCAGAGGCGGAUCCAGGAUUUGAGGUUUAUGCGUUCCUACAGUAAUUUUUGGAUUAAUAUGCAAUAACAACUGGGUUCUCGAUAAGAUAUUUAUCAAUAUUUAGUAAAUUUCUUAAUAUAAAUACAUGGUUUACGCAAAAUUUACUGGGUUCCCGGGAACCCGCACUCUAUACACUAUAUCCGCCUCUGAUGACCACCCAGCUGCCAUAACCAUUGUCGACCUCCAGCCCCCCGUCACACGCAGUCGACGAACAACCAUUCUCGCCGGAAAAAUCACAACAGCCUUCCGUCGACCGCUGCCUGUCGCCACGUCCAAACAACCAUAGCUGCUUCGUCAUUCAUCGAAAACCAAACACAGCUGCUUUCUUCUUCAGCCCAUCGCACAGCUUCGCACCCACCAUUUCCCUCCAGUUGCAUCGUCAAACGACCACCCCUGGAAACGCAGCUGUGUCUCGUCGUUCUUCAGGUUCAAUCCGCCGAGGUUCUCGUGUCGUUUCCGGUUGUGGCUCAUUCAUAUGAACGUACAUCAGAUUUUGUUCCUGAUGUAUCAAAGAACGUUUAGCCAUUAACAGGUUCAUUUUGUUCCCUUUUACAUAAUUAUUUGAAUGCUUGAAUGAGGUGUUUGUGUAGUUUUGUUUGAUACGCCAUGAUGAAUUCUGUUCAUUAGCAUGCUUUAAGCUUCUUUAAUCAUCAAUUUGAGGGUGUGUUUUUAAUUCUUAUUGUUAUUACUUACUAUGUAUUCUUUCUCUUAAUGAAAAAGUUGUAGUAAUUUUUGUAUAUGUAGUUUUAUGACUUCUAUAAUUUCAUAUCAUGUCAUGCUAGCUGGAGGUUUGAGAUAUCAACAGUAGCUUCAUAAAGCAAAUAAACAUCCACCUUAUGAAUUCUGUAUUGCAUGACUUACGUGAGAUGCAAUAGUGUAAUUUAAGUAGCAUAUGGCUUUAGCUACAAAUGUUGUUUCCACAGAUUGAUUGUAAAGGUGAAUUUAGUUUGUACGCCUUGGAACAUCAUACUAAUACUGCAAGUAGGGCCGGGUGUAUUUUAUGUGACCCGACUCCAAUUUCGAACAAGCUUAAAUAAAACGUGCCAUGAAUGACGGGUACAUUUCAUGUGCCAUGACGUGAUAUUUUAAAUAAUUUUAAAUUUUUUCCGAAAUGUUAAAAGCUAUUAAAAUAAUAGAAUCCUUUUUACUUUAACUUUUUGCUUUAAUUUUGCUUUUCCUUUAAGUUUUAGCUUUAACUUUUUCUUUCCCUUUAAGCUUUAACUUUAACUUUUGCUUUUGACUUUAGUUUUAGUUUAAACAAAUAUCAACAUGUACCUAUUGUUCUCUGAAGCGUUUUUAAGUUUGUUAUCAGACAAGCCUCAAAUAAAACGUACAAAUUUCGGGGCUUUCAUAAAUGUAUAUAUUAAAAAUACUUAGACUUCGGGACGGGCCGUUUAGCGAAUUGCACGACUUUCCCCAAAAUAAUAACGCGUUAGACUCUUUAGACGCGAAUUUUAAUUAUAUUACCUCCAUAAACUCGGGUGCACAUUUUACUACAAAAAAACGGAAUUAUUAUGACGGUUAUAUUACGGCGGUUCUAUAUAACCGCCACAAAAUAUAAUUAAAAAUGAAGUUUUACCGGCCGCCGAAUUAAAUUUUUUUAGCGGCGAUUAUUUUGUAUUGUGGCGGUUGAUAAACGCCGUAAUAUUUCAAUUAAAUUAUUUUAACUAUUCAUUUACAAUAAGUUUUAGUCUUCCCCUCGCGUUUUUUGAGACUCCUUCAGAAUUUGCCCAAUUCCUUUAAUUUCCCUCCAUAAGUCUCGUAGGUAUAUCCCUCAAUUCCUUUAAUUUUGUUUCUAUUUCCCCCAAUUCCUUUAUGAGACUCCCUCCAAAUUCCCUCCAUAAGCUAGGUUGCUUCUGUCCAAGAUUUCUAGUGUAUACGUAGAACUUAUCGCUAGCCUGGCUUAGAGAGUCUGUUUCCAAAUAGAAUUCUGGUAUCCUUCCCUUCAAUAACUUACCAGCGUGCUCUUGGCGAGACUCGAACCCCUCCAAUAACUUAUCAGUGUGAUCUAAGUGGAGAACUCUCAUGUUCAGAGAAUGAAGGUUGCGGAGAUGAGGAUGCUCAGGUGGAUGUGNNNNNNNNNNNNNNNNNNNNNNNNNNNNNNNNNNNNNNNNNNNNNNNNNNNNNNNNNNNNNNNNNNNNNNNNNNNNNNNNNNNNNNNNNNNNNNNNNNNNNNNNNNNNNNNNNNNNNNNNNNNNNNNNNNNNNNNNNNNNNNNCAGGUGGAUGUGCGAGCUCACCAGGUUAGAUAAGAUUAAGAAUGAAGUUAUUAGAGAGAAGGUGGGGGUGGCCCCGGUGGAUGAGAAGAUGAGAGAAGCGAGGCUGAGGUGGUUCGGACAUGUGCGGAGGAGAAAUCCUGAUGUCCCGGUGAGGAGUUGUGAGCGGCUGGCGAUGGUCGGCAUACAGCGAGGCAGAUGGAGGCCUAAGAGGUACUGGGGAGAGGUGAUUAGGCAUGACAUGGCUAGAAUGCGGGUUUCCGAGGAUAUGGCCCUUGAUAGGAAAGUCUGGAGGUCUAGUAUCAGGGUUGUAGGAUAGGGGCUCCUAGAGUUUUUCAUACUCCUCGUCCGGGGUUGGGUGAGGAUUUGCAGNNNNNNNNNNNNNNNNNNNNNNNNNNNNNNNNNNNNNNNNNNNNNNNNNNNNNNNNNNNNNNNNNNNNNNNNNNNNNNNNNNNNNNNNNNNNNNNNNCCCUUAUAGUAGUUAUUUAUGGUAGUUACUGUCUGAUAUUAUUGCAUGCUAUUUUAUUUAUGGUUCUUAUGUUUAGAUAAUUAUUUACGCUGUUUCAGCUGGAGUUACUAAUGUUCUUUUGUUUUUGUUUUUGUUUUUCCUUUCCUUCACUAACAUGGGGGUCGAUUGGAUACAGCCUCUCUGUCCUUUCGGGUAAGGGUAAGGCCCGUCUACAUAUUACCCUCCCCAGACUCCACUUUGUGGGACUAUACUGGAUAGUUGU
rnacentral:lncRNA from 1 species